CUGUACUCCUUUUUUAUCUUCAUUAUCAAUGUGGACACGGAUCCUGCCAAACUUGUCAUCCGACACCCUGAGCAUGAUAAGUCCAUGGACCUCCAUAUUCUGAAGGCCUCCAUCCCGACUGCAGGUCAUUGCAGCAGCCUGGAAGUCUCCCAUCUUGGACUUUCCUGAGGUUAAACGGAGGCUGGAUAAUGUUCUCAUUCUGGAGAAACUAACUAGCUACACAAAUGGUGCGCAGAAAUCUUUCCACAAAGUCUGGUCCCCCUGGUUAUCAUACCGAAAUAUCUCUUUAACCUAAAUGCUCUUAGUUGUCCUCCCACUCUGACUUAAGGGAUACCCUAAAUUUUCUUGACCCAAUGCUGAACCUGUAAGUGCAGAAAUGACGACAGUACUCGCAAGUGUUGAAGGCAAAUGUUUGUUUGGUUUAUCUGUUUCCUUUUGAUCAUUUCUUUUUUUCAUUUUCAUUCUUCCUUUUUCUUUUCUUUUUUGUAUAAUUUCCUUGCCUGCUACUUAGGCUACUCUAUUACACAACUCAGGAAUGUAUUUUAUGUACCAAUGCGACACAAUACUGCUGCAGCCUGGGAAUUGUCCAGUGCCUGCAGAUUCUGAGUUUUACUAUGUACCCAUUUUUGCUAUAUGCUGAUCUUUGAAAAUAAAAAUGUUAAAUACAAAAAAAUAAAAAUAAUAUAUAAAUAUA